rnacentral:rRNA from 1 species
AUUGAACGCUGGCGGCAGGCCUAACACAUGCAAGUCGAACGAGUGGCGGACGGGUGUGUGAUGCUUGUGAAUAUGUCCUCUGUAGGGGGAUAACUACGGUAAACUGUACCUCAUACAGCGUACCCUAGGAGGAGUCCAAGUGGGAUGGGGUAGUUGGUGAGGUAAAGGCUCACCAAGCCGACGAUCUCUAGCUGGUCUGAGAGGAUGACCAGCCACACUGGGACGGAGACACGGCCCAGACUCCUACGGGAGGCAGCAGUGGGGAAUAUUGCGCAAUGGGGGAAACCUGACGCAGCCAUGCCGCGUGAAUGAAGAAGGCCUUCGGGUUGUAAAGUUCUUUCGGUAGCGAGGCGUUAAUUACAGAAGAAGCACCGGCUAACUCCGUGCCAGCAGCCGCGGUAAUAC